UGCUAAUACAUGCAAGUCGAGCGGACAGAUGGGAGCUUGCUCCCUGAUGUUAGCGGCGGACGGGUGAGUAACACGUGGGUAACCUGCCUGUAAGACUGGGAUAACUCCGGGAAACCGGGGCUAAUACCGGAUGGUUGUUUGAACCGCAUGGUUCAAACAUAAAAGGUGGCUUCGGCUACCACUUACAGAUGGACCCGCGGCGCAUUAGCUAGUUGGUGAGGUAACGGCUCACCAAGGCAACGAUGCGUAGCCGACCUGAGAGGGUGAUCGGCCACACUGGGACUGAGACACGGCCCAGACUCCUACGGGAGGCAGCAGUAGGGAAUCUUCCGCAAUGGACGAAAGUCUGACGGAGCAACGCCGCGUGAGUGAUGAAGGUUUUCGGAUCGUAAAGCUCUGUUGUUAGGGAAGAACAAGUACCGUUCGAAUAGGGCGGUACCUUGACGGUACCUAACCAGAAAGCCACGGCUAACUACGUGCCAGCAGCCGCGGUAAUACGUAGGUGGCAAGCGUUGUCCGGAAUUAUUGGGCGUAAAGGGCUCGCAGGCGGUUUCUUAAGUCUGAUGUGAAAGCCCCCGGCUCAACCGGGGAGGGUCAUUGGAAACUGGGGAACUUGAGUGCAGAAGAGGAGAGUGGAAUUCCACGUGUAGCGGUGAAAUGCGUAGAGAUGUGGAGGAACACCAGUGGCGAAGGCGACUCUCUGGUCUGUAACUGACGCUGAGGAGCGAAAGCGUGGGGAGCGAACAGGAUUAGAUACCCUGGUAGUCCACGCCGUAAACGAUGAGUGCUAAGUGUUAGGGGGUUUCCGCCCCUUAGUGCUGCAGCUAACGCAUUAAGCACUCCGCCUGGGGAGUACGGUCGCAAGACUGAAACUCAAAGGAAUUGAC
rnacentral:rRNA from 1 species